rnacentral:rRNA from 1 species
UACGUAGGGUGCAAGCGUUUGUCCGGAAUUAUUGGGCGUAAAGAGCUCGUAGGCGGUCUGUUGCGUCUGCUGUGAAAACCUAGGGCUUAACUCUGGGCGUGCAGUGGGUACGGGCAGACUAGAGUGCGGUAGGGGAGACUGGAAUUCCUGGUGUAGCGGUGAAAUGCGCAGAUAUCAGGAGGAACACCGGUGGCGAAGGCGGGACUCUGGGCCGAUACUGACGCUGAGGAGCGAAAGCGUGGGGGAGCAAACAGG